rnacentral:tRNA from 1 species
GGGAGUGUGGCUCACUGGUAGAGUUCUUGCCUCACAUGUAUAAGGCCCUGGGUUCGAUCCCCAGCACCA